rnacentral:tRNA from 1 species
GCGCUGGUAGUACAGUGGUUAGUAUCAUUGGUUUCCAACCAAUUGACCUGGGUUCGACUCCCGGCCGGCGCA